GACAGAGGCCUCAAGCGUUAGGCGGAAUCACUGGGCUUAAAGCGUGUGUAGGCGGAUCGUUAAGUGUCUUGUGAAAUCCCACGGCUCACCCGUGGAACGGCUGGGCAUACUGGCGAUCUUGGGCCAACUAGGGGCAACUGGAACAAGCGGUGGAGCGGUGAAAUGCGUAGAUAUCGCUUGGAACGCCAAAGGUGAAAACAGGUUGCUGGGGUUGUGCCGACGCUGAGACACGAAAGCCAGGGGAGCAAACGGGG
rnacentral:rRNA from 1 species